rnacentral:rRNA from 1 species
GUUAGGAAUAUUGGACAAUGGGCGCAAGCCUGAUCCAGCCAUGCCGCGUGAACGAUGAAGGCCUUCGGGUUGUAAAGUUCUUUAGCCGAUGAUUAUAAUGACUGUAGUCGGAAAAUAAGCCCCGGCUAACUUCGUGCCAGCAGCCGCGGUAAUACGAAGGGGGCGAGCGUUAUUCGGAAUCACUGGGCGUAAAGCGUGCGUAGGCGGUAUCGUAAGUUAGUAGUGAAAGCCCAGGGCUCAACCUUGGAAUUGCUCUUAAAACUGCAAGGCUAGAAUCUCGGAGAGGAUAGCUGAAUUUCCAGUGUAGCAGUGAAAUGCGUAGAUAUUGGAAGGAACACCAGUGGCGUAAGCGGCUAUCUGGACGAGUAUUGACGCUGAGGCACGAAAGCGUGGGGAUCAAACAGGAUUAGAAACCCCUGUAGUCC